UAGUUUUGCCCUUCGGUAUGUGUUCCUGAAUGGUAUAGACUGGACUUGCCUGGUGUUGAACUUUGUAUGAUCAGAACGAUACCGUAUAUUCUUUUGUGACCUGCUUCUUUCGCUCCAAGUUAUGCUUCUUAAGAUAUAUCUAGUUGACGCUGUGGCUGUGGUUUGUUUAUUUUCAUUGCUAGCGAGCAGGGAUCACAAGCAAAGGCCCCAGGGCUAAAUCCAGCCCGCUGCCUUUUGGCCUGCGAGGCGUGAGUGGUCUUUCUGGUUUUUAACGGUUGGAAGGAAAUCGAAAGAAGACCAUGUCGUGACACGUGAAGAUUAUACAAUAGUCACAUGCCAGUGUCCAUAAAUAAAGUUUUAUCGGAACAAACCACACUCAUUCAUUCGUCGAUCGCCUGUGACCGCUGUCACCCUACGUCGGCAGCGUUGAAUAGUUGCGAGAGAGACCAUCUGGCCCACAAGGUGUAAGAUGUUUACUCUCUGGCCCUUUACGGAGCACGUCCGCCAGCCCCCGCUGUGGAGCGUCCCAUUGGAUGAACUCACUGCAAGUCAGUUAUGAUCGACACGUCACGCGCUUCCUGUCUGUGGCUGUGAACACUCACGUGUGGUCUCCGGCCCUUGUGUGUUCAGUGCUUCCAGGGGACACGUUCCCGUUAAGGCUGCUUCUUUCCAAGAGGACUGUGAGCUUCGGGGGGCUGGAAAACGUGCGGACUUUCGUGGGUCGAAUCCUCGACCCCCAGCACGGUGCCUGGUACCCGGGGGAUAUGCCGGAGAUACCACAGCAGGAAGGACUCAAGUCCUCAGCCACAGACAACCCCGGGAGGCGGUCCAAGAAGGCUGGGUGGAGACGUGAUGCCUCCAGGAGAGGGAGCUGGGUCCAGGGGCAGGAGGUGGGCCCCGGGCUCCUCAGCGCAGGAGGACAGUUGGUGACCCACAUCGGCGCCCCCAUCAUGGUCUCUCUGGCCAACGAGGCCAUCUCCUUUGGCUGCAAAAUCUCCUACCCGCACAGCCCCGAACUGAAGAACUUCACAGCCUGGUACUUUCACGUGGACCUUCAGAGUCAGAGGAGCUCUGAGAAGCAGAUCAACUGCUCAUCCCACCCGGUCAAAGAGAACCGGACGCACAGCCUGAAAUGCUGGGUCACGCCCCAGCUGCCCAAUGCGUCAGCCACCGGUACCUACUACUGCUCCGUGCACUGGCCAGACUUGAUAAGAAUCAGCCAAGGAAUCUUCAUCCUGGUCAGAGACACAGGGUACCAAGAGCCCCCACAGGGCGCCCAGAAGCUUCUGCUCUUUUGCUUCACGGGCCUCCUGACCCUCCUGAGCAUCUUGGUCACGGCUCUGCUCCUCUGGAAGAAGGGACAGAUGCGGGCUCCCCCGAAGCACCUGGACCCCGGCACCGCCCACGGCCAGGAGCAGCCUGUGGCCGAAUCCAUCUACACAUCUCUACAGGGCAGAGACACUGAAGUCUACUCCUGCAUCCAGACCGUGCCCAGCAGCCUGCCCCCCAAACCAGAGCUUUGUCUCCCAGCGUUUCCCCCCUACCGGAAAUCUGAUGGGCUUAUGACAUCAUGGCUGGCUGCUGAGCGAUGAAGUGGAUGCCACAAAGAAAUCCGACAUAUCAGAUGGAUUCUGAAAUCAGUUUCCCUCUGGCUGCGGUAACAGGCGUGAAGUCAGGAGAAUCAAACAGACCUUUUGGACAUCAUCCGAUUUUAAUAAAGACGCUGGCGUGUAUGAAAUGAAAGCGGCUAAUAAAUCAGACCUGAAGCUGCCUGUGAACAUUCCCUUUUGGCUGAGUUUUUGUGUGUCCUUCUUCACUAAUAAAAGAGGAACUGGGAA